GACGAACGCUGGCGGCGUGCUUAACACAUGCAAGUCGAGCGAUGAACCUUUCAUGAAUUUUUCGGAAUGAUUGGAAGAGGAUUAGCGGCGGACGGGUGAGUAACGCGUGAGCAACCUGCCUUAAACAACGGGAUAGCCUCGGGAAACCGGGAUUAAUACCGUAUGAGCACCCGCCUUCACAAGAAGAAGAGGUUAAAGAUUUAUCGGUUUAAGAUGGGCUCGCGUCUGAUUAGCUAGUUGGGGAGGUAAAAGCCCACCAAGGCAACGAUCAGUAACCGGCUUGAGAGAGUGAACGGUCACAUUGGAACUGAGACACGGUCCAAACUCCUACGGGAGGCAGCAUUGGGGAAUAUUGCACAAUGGGGGAAACCCUGAUGCAGCGACGCCGCGUGAGCGAUGAAGGAAUUCGUUUCGUAAAGCUCUGUCCAAGGGGAAGAUAAUGACAGUACCCUUGGAGGAAGCCCCGGCUAAAUACGUGCCAGCAGCCGCAGUAA
rnacentral:rRNA from 1 species